UAAAGCGCAUGCAGGUGGUUUGUUAAGUCAGGAUGUGAAAGCCCGGGGCUCAACCUCGGAAUUGCAUUUGAAACUGGCAAACUAGAGUACUGUAGAGGGGGUAGAAUUUCAGGUGUAGCGGUGAAAUGCGUAGAGAUCUGAAGGAAUACCGGUGGCGAAGGCGGCCCCCUGGACAGAUACUGACACUCAGAUGCGAAAGCGUGGGGAGCAAACAGGAUUAGAUACCCUGGUAG
rnacentral:rRNA from 1 species